rnacentral:siRNA from 1 species
ACACUUCUUAUUGUUAUUGGGCCA